UCUUCGAAUUAGCCUAUAAGCCCGAAGCCCGAGUCGAUUUUUUGGCCGGUCGGUCGAUCAUAAAUGCAUAUAAAAUAGCCCGACCGGUCGAUUAAAUUUUUGAGCGUAAAAUUGUAAACAUAGUGAAAUAAUUACAUGAACACCGGUCAGUCACUUCGGGUUAAAGGCGUAUCGGUCAAUGGAAGUAGUCGGUACAAAUCGUUAGCCAAUAAACACGUCCGUGUUCCACUCUUACGGGACUCCGGAGAUGGACGUAGUGUUACGAUUGGUCCGUUUGUUCAAAGCGGACAUCGACGUAUGAUGACUCAUUAAAAAAAAAUCCUUGCGUUAAAAUCGCGCUCAAGAUGGCGUUCAGCCAACUUCGAUACCAGAGCGGGGCGUUACCAGGUAAAAAACGUAAGCAGCCGACCGACCCUGUAUCUUCUAUCCAUCAAUGAAUUUGACCCAGACCUUGCGAUCAAGCACUGGAUGACUUCAACACCCAGUGGACAACCCCGCAGAAUCAAGAGAGAAGCCCCAGGAUCCCAAGGGGACUGUAUCGUGGUGUCAGAAGAGGACGAAAAAGAUGUUGCCAGCAACAAGGUGCCAGAGAACUCAGAAUAUGAAGAUGAUGAUGAUGAUGAUGAUGACGAUGAAGAUAUGGAGAUGUCGGCGGAGCAUGCCUUUUCUGUUGUUUUGAAAAAUGAAUAAUAAAUGUUGUAAAUGGGA